CCUACGGGAGGCAGCAGUAGGGAAUAUUGCUCAAUGGGGGAAACCCUGAAGCAGCAACGCCGCGUGGAGGAUGAAGGUUUUCGGAUUGUAAACUCCUUUUGUUAGAGAAGAUAAUGACGGUAUCUAACGAAUAAGCAACGGCUAACUCCGUGCCAGCAGCCGCGGUAAUACGGAGGGUGCAAGAGUUACUCGGAAUCACUGGGCGUAAAGAGCGCGUAGGCGGGAUAGCAAGUCAGAUGUGAAAUCCUAUGGCUUAACCAUAGAACUGCAUUUGAAACUGUUAUUCUAGAGUAUGGGAGAGGUAGGUGGAAUUCUUGGUGGAGGGGUAAAAUGCGUAGAGAUCAAGAGGAAUACUCAUUGCGAAGGCGACCUGCUAGAACAUAACUGACGCUGAUGCGCGAAAGCGUGGGGAGCAAACAGGAUUAGAUACCCUAGUAGUC
rnacentral:rRNA from 1 species